GGCCUCCAGGUAAUCGAGCUCAAAACUUGCGGACUUCCCCCCCAACACGUUCAAGAGGGAAAUACAUGUGUAUACCCUGUAGCUGUAGAGGGAAGUGGGCAACAUAUUUACAAAAGGACUGCAGAGCCUGCCGUGAGCUGGAGAACUUGCUAGAGAUAAAGCCCUUCCUCUAUGUGGUUCAUGCCAAAGCUCGUGGAGUGUGAGGUAUUAUACAAGUCUUUUCAAUCCCACUAGUUAGUAGUGAAUUAUUGUGUCAUAAGUACAUUGUAAUCAGUGUCAUAAGUACAUUGUUUCUUCGUAAGAAGAUCACGUUCAUUCUCACCCAAUACAUAUAUCAAAUGGGGAGGGGCCAACCAGGAGAGUGCAGCCUGUACACUUGGGGAGGAAGUUGAACAGGCAAACGCCUUCAUCUUGAAGAUAUACUGUAUUUGGUGCAAAUAGCUGUCGCAAUACAUGGAACUGGUUUGCCUGGGUGUAGCUUUGUGUAUGUGGCUGUCAGUGAGGUUAAAGGAUACAUUUUAAAGUUGAAAAAACCCUGUCCUAGCACUUGUGUCAGCUACGUAGUCUAGAUUUCAAUGACUGGUUUGCGUUCUGCUUUAAAUGAAAACUGCACUCGUCUCUGUAAAUGUGACUUCUUCAACAGAGCACUGAACCAGCGCAGUUGGCGUUUCACCCAUAUGAGUGCUACCCUGAGCAAAUCAUUCCGUGAGACCAAGCAAAAACUUCUGAAUGAAAAGGAGAGUCUUGAAGUUCUGAAGAACCUAAUGUCUGUGAAUGAUGGCCCGGUAAGGCAGUGAGUCACUGAUGUCCAGGAGUGGGAAUCCCACGGACUCGUCUUGUUCAUUGGCAGGGCUUACCUUGACAGGACAAACCUCCAUGCCUCUGGCUGGUGCCUGGAUGAGGGGGUCCUGGGACUCCUUCAGGGAGAAGUCUUGGAGGUCGAGUGUCCUGGAGGGCCUGCACUCCUCCCUCCACCACCACAACACCACCCCUGCCAAUAGCACACUCAGGACAACUGGGCAGAAAAUAUAGACUGAAAUAUUGUCCAGAAAGGACCACAUUGGACAGAAAGGGGCACACCUUAUUGGACUAAUAAGACAUAAUAAAGGCCUUAAUGGCUACUUAUAUAGACACGUAUAAACUACAAAUGAGUGGUUAUUAUGUAUACCUGAAAAUAAAGUGUUACCGCUUUUUUUUUGCAUAUAAACCAUAAGCUGCUAUUUCUAUAAACUCUAAGUACUGACACUUAUACCCAUAUUUACAUAAAAUUGUCAUUAUUUGAAUCUUUCUUUACACCUGAGCAAUAUCAUCUCUCCAGUACAGUUCCAUAGAUGGCAUGAUAUAAACAGACCGUAAGGGAUCUAAAUGUAAUG